GAUGAACGCUGGCGGCGUGCCUAAUACAUGCAAGUCGAGCGAACGGACGAGAAGCUUGCUUCUCUGAUGUUAGCGGCGGACGGGUGAGUAACACGUGGAUAACCUACCUAUAAGACUGGGAUAACUUCGGGAAACCGGAGCUAAUACCGGAUAAUAUUUUGAACCGCAUGGUUCAAAAGUGAAAGACGGUCUUGCUGUCACUUAUAGAUGGAUCCGCGCUGCAUUAGCUAGUUGGUAAGGUAACGGCUUACCAAGGCAACGAUGCAUAGCCGACCUGAGAGGGUGAUCGGCCACACGGGAACUGAGACACGGUCCAGACUCCUACGGGAGGCAGCAGUAGGGAAUCUUCCGCAAUGGGCGAAAGCCUGACAGAGCAACGCCGCGUGAGUGAUGAAGGUCUUCGGAUCGUAAAACUCUGUUAUUAGGGAAGAACAUAUGUGUAAGUAACUGUGCACAUCUUGACGGUACCUAUCAGAAAGCCACGGCUAACUACGUG
rnacentral:rRNA from 1 species